rfam:Felis catus isolate Cinnamon breed Abyssinian chromosome X, whole genome shotgun sequence.
GCCUGGGUGGCUCAGUCGGUUGAGUGUCUGACUUCGGCUCAGGUCAUGAUCUCUUAGUCCAUGGGUUCGAGUCCCCCAUCGGGCU